UACGUAGGUGGCAAGCGUUGUCCGGAUUUACUGGGCGUAAAGAGCGCGCAGGCGGUCGUUCAAGUCGCGUGUGAAAGCCCCCCGGCUCAACUGGGGAGGGUCACGCGAUACUGAUCGACUCGAAGGCAGGAGAGGGAAGUGGAAUUCCCGGUGUAGUGGUGAAAUGCGUAGAUAUCGGGAGGAACACCAGUGGCGAAGGCGGCCCCCUGGUUGGAUACUGACGCUGAUACGCGAAAGCGUGGGGAGCAAACAGG
rnacentral:rRNA from 1 species